CAGCCGCCGCGGUAAUACGGAGGGGGCUAGCGUUGUUCGGAAUUACUGGGCGUAAAGCGCACGUAGGCGGCUUGGUAAGUUAGAGGUGAAAGCCUGGAGCUCAACUCCAGAAUUGCCUUUAAGACUGCCGAGCUAGCAGGUGAGAGAGGUAAGUGGAAUUCCGAGUGUAGAGGUGAAAUUCGUAGAUAUUCGGAAGAACACCAGUGGCGAAGGCGGCUUACUGGCUCAUACUGGACGCUGAGGUGCGAAAGCGUGGGGAGCAAACAGGAUUAGAUACCCGCGUAGUCCCUGUCUCUUAUAA
rnacentral:rRNA from 1 species